rnacentral:RNase_P_RNA from 1 species
GGUGCGGGCCAGGCACCCGCUGGCCGCGUGCUGCGGUGCGCGGCGAGAGGAAAAGUCCGGGCUCCACAGGGCAGGGUGCUGGCUAACGGCCAGUGGAGGCAACUCCAAGGAAAGUGCCACAGAGAACAGUCCGCCCGCGUGGCACCUGCGGGUGCCCGCGCAUGGGGAACGUCCUCCGGGGCCUUCCCCUCAGCCGGCCUCCCCGCGGGGAGACCGGCCGGCAAGGGUGAAACGGUGCGGUAAGAGCGCACCGCCGGGGUGGAGACAUCCCGGGCACGGUAAACCCCACCUGGAGCAAGGUCCGGCAAGGCGCCCUUUCGGCCCGCGGGCCGAAAGGCGAAUGGCCCGUUCGUGGCGCCGCCCAUGACCGCUCGAGGCAGGCGGCAACGCCUGUCCUAGAUGAAUGGGUGCCGCCCCGGAGCGGGGCAACCCGCCCGGGGACCAGAACCCGGCUUAAGGCCCGCACCGGCG